rnacentral:rRNA from 1 species
GACGAACGCUGGCGGCGUGCCUAAUACAUGCAAGUCGAACGCAGUGGGGACGGGUGAGUAACACGUGGGUAACCUCCCAUCAGAGGGGAUAACACUUGGAAACAGGUGCUAAACCGAUACUGAUGGAUGGACCCGCGGUGCAUUAGCUAGUUGGUAAGGUAACGGCGCACCAAGGCAACGAUGCAUAGCGUACCUGAGAGAGUGAUCGGCCAAACUGGGACUGAGACACGGCCCAGCUGCCGACGCGAGGCAGGAGUAUUGAAGCUUCCGCAAUGGACGAAAGUUUGGCCGAGCAACUCUUCGUGAGUGACGAAGGUUUUCGGAUCGUAAGACUCUGUUGUUGGUGAAGCGGUAUCGAACCAGAAGGCCACGGCUAAGUACGUGCCAGCCGCCGCGGUAAUUC